UACGAAGGGGGCUAGCGUUGCUCGGAAUUACUGGGCGUAAAGCGUGCGCAGGCGGUUAUGCAAGACAGAUGUGAAAUCCCCGGGCUCAACCUGGGAACUGCAUUUGUGACUGCAUGGCUGGAGUGCGGCAGAGGGGGGAUGGAAUUCCGCGUGUAGCAGUGAAAUGCGUAGAUAUGCGGAGGAACACCGAUGGCGAAGGCAGUCCCCUGGGCCUGUACUGACGCUCAUGCACGAAAGCGUGGGGAGCAAACAGG
rnacentral:rRNA from 1 species